rnacentral:tRNA from 1 species
GGUGGUAUAGCACAGUGGUAGAGUGCACGCCUAGCAUGCAUGAGUUUCUGGGUUCAAUCCCCCAGUAUCUCCA